ACGUCACUGGCAUCGCCGCCUCUUCGGUGCCCGAGGCCAGGGCUUGUGCAAAGUCGAACAGGGCCAAAGCACUCUGCGAGGUGCCAAAGGUGGCGGGCGUGCCGCGCUGAAAGAAAGAGGGUGCUGAAAGGCUUGCACCAAAAAAGGCGCGAAGACCAGCGGCGGCGCCGCCAGCUGUCACCGUCGCUGGUCCUUCAUCUGUCCAGCAGCGGCGAUGACGAGCCGAUGCCUGCCUUGGUGGAGAUGGCAGUGCCGCCGCCAGCUCCAACGUCGCCGCCAGCUCCAGCGCCGCCACCAUCACCGCCUUUACCGCCACCAUCGCCACCCACAGCGUCUACUGGUCCGUGCUGGGUGCGGGUGGCGCGUUGGGUGCCGCCACCGUAUUCGGUGGUUUGAAGUUUUUGGAAGCAACGAAACAGGAGAAAAUAAGGAGGAAAAACCUAGGCUGUUUCAGCACAAUGUGACUGACAUGGACUGAUUUGAAGCGAGCGUGCACGAGAGGCUGCAUGACAUUGGACUGACCACGUCUGCAAGCAGAGAUAACGGGGAGGAAACCAAACUGUCAAUCAAGUUAGCAUAAAAAUAGCCCAUAUCCACCUGAACAAUGGAAAACCGUUACGUCAUUACAAAGCAUAACAGCAAUAUUGCGCUGCAUGUUGAAAUGUGUUGAACGCCAGCGAACGCCAGCAAGCAUGUUAAUCAUGGCUGCGACGCUAGAAAUCGUGCUGAACUUAUCACUGUUAGCCAACAAGGACCGGGUUUUAAGGCGCGUAUCGUAAUGUGUCUGAUUGUGUUAAGACGCGUUUUAAUUUAUGUCGACUUGACGCAACGUGCCCUGCACAGCCGGCAUAGUCUGUAUUCGCGCCCUUUAGCCUAUGAGCGCGCGUAAAAUCGCCCGUUGAUAUUCAAGCUAGUUUGACCGUAUCAGCUCCUCUCUACGCGUUGCAAUCAACCGUACAGUGCGCCACUGUGGGCGUGGCUCAGUGACGUGGUACUGUCACGUGGUGUGGCGCGACAUCGUCGGUUGGGAUGAUCCAAACCCUGGCAUGACCUUUUUUUGUCGUUUUUCGCUUGCAAUUACCACCAUGGUGACCAAUUGCCCCCAGAUUUAACUUAGUUAUGAUUGCGAAACAUACGACUAUCGUAUAGAUCAAACAUGCGUCUAUACGGACACUGGCAGGUGUAAUGAAGGCAUUUGAUGAUAAUUGUCGCGGUUUCAAGUGUUAAGCAUGUAACAAACGCAGCUAGGCUUGACAUAACGGCCUCUGAUCAACCGGGUGCGCGGCGCACGGUACGAUCCCGGCACCAAGUGCACUGGGCGGGCACACAUGACGCCGCACCCACACUCUUCACCGGAGAAGACGAGAAGAAGAAGGGAAGAGAAGAGGGCCAAAAGAAGACACCACAGAACUACCAAAAGAGACCACCGAUGACAAGCUCAGAAGACAGUGACGUGUCUUGGUGCCUUUUUAAAAGGCGCUUGGAACGUAGCGAAGAGCUGUUGUUGAUUGCCUAUCUCAGUUGAUUGCCUGUGUGGCCAUCGGCAGCGACAACCUGGGCCUCCAGGCGUGGCUGCCGCACAUGCCGGUAAGCGCUCUCCACAGCUGGCGU